rnacentral:tRNA from 1 species
GGGCCGCUAGCUCAGUGGUAGAGCACCUGACUUUUAAUCAGGGUGCCGCUGGUUCGAUCCCAGCGCGGCCCACCA